UGACAGGUGUCCUGGUCCAGUACUGCAGCCUCUAUAGAAGACAAAGCAGCUGCGCAAGACCUCAGGCUCUGUGUGUGUGUGUGUGUGUGUGCGUGUGUGUGUGUGUCUUUGCUGUCUGUCAUGACUUGGAGACACUGUCGGUUAAAAAGCAGUUACAGCAGUUAAGGAAGUUAAAGGUGGAGAUGGGGAGGGAGUCUGAUGAUGGCAGAUCAAUUUGCUCAUUGGAUUUGUGAAGAGAACAAAUGAAUGCAUGGAGACAAGGUUGUCUGGAACAGCAGUUGGACACUUUCCUAUUACCAUGUUUCUGUGAUAAACACUAGUUUUUAUAUUUGGUAUAAAGAAACCAAGCAUUUAUUUAAGAAAUAUAAUCAAAAAUAUUUUUUUUACAUAAAACAUGUAAACAUGUGACAUAUAUUGUAUAUAUUUACAUGAGCUAUGUAAAUAUACAGCUGAGUGGCCUUGUACCAGAAAGUGUAGGACUUAAGUGCAGUUACACUGUUGAAGUGUUUUAUACUGAAACACAUGUGACACUUCAAAAUGUCUUUAUUUCCCUUUAUGUCCAGGUCAAGACACAGUGCUCAUUGAAAAUUGCGAUGACCGUUACAGCAUGCCAUUGUCAGGUCUCUGUUCCUGGUUCCUGCUGUCUGCUGUGUGGGGUAAUCAGUGUCAUCACCUUCACCUGUGUCUCUGUGAUUAGUCUCACUCGUGUCACUUGGUGUCCUUUGUACCUCUUGCCCUUACUCUGUCUCAGUGGGGUCAUUGUAUCUGUUCGUUGUGUGUUCUGUGCUCAGCUCAGUGUAUGCGUCAAGUUCCUAGUUUGUACUUAGUAGUUCAUGCCUCAGCUGGUUUAUGCCUUGUCCCUGGUCUUGUGAAGAAGUUGACUUGUGAAGGACGUCGCACGCAUUGAUAUAUGAUGACUUACAGAAAAAAUGCCUGUGAAGUUUCCAUAUUUGUGCCUCCUGACCUGUGUACGUCUGAGGAGUCUCACUGAUGCACCACAAACAAAGGAGGAGGCAGUGAAAAUUGCAAGGAGGGGCUCAAAAAGAGCAGUCGCUCCAGACAAGCCUGGACGAGAAAGAAGGGAGACCUCUGGCCUUUCACGGCUCGGCCCUCGGAGUCUCCUCAGAUGAUGGGGGUCAACUCAGUCUAACUAGCAGCACAAAAACAACGGGAGGAGCAGAGGGAGGAGAGCUGAACACCUGAGAUCAGAUCUGCUAGUCAUUUUGCCUCGAGUAAGAGGUCGUCGGUGUUAUUAUUCUUUUUGCCUUUCAAGGGCCAAGCCUUCAUUGUGUAGGACAAACAUCAAGGGGUUAAAGGAAAAAGGAGAAAGUGACACACUGGAUCUCUCAUCUGUGAUCUUCACAAACAUCUUUUUUAUAUUAUGAAGAAGCGGAAAAACUGGAGAUCAUUGUUUAAAAUAAUUCCGUCAUUAUCGUAUAUUUUUAGUCUUUUUUUCAUCAAAUGGUGGUUUUAUUAUGAAUGACGCAGCGUUUGAACUGCAAACUGAGUGAGAAUGUACAGGUUCUUUUAAAAAGAAGAAUGCUGAGUAUGUACUAAUGGAGUUUGUUCCCAUUUUAAAGCUUAGAUGGGAGAAAAAAAGGCCCUCACUAGCUUUUCUACAUUCUCUGUCUAGUUUAUGUUGGGAGGCUAUAAUAAAAAGCCACCAUGUGCCAAUUGAGCGCCUACAAUUAGCAGAUUAGAGUGAUAAAGAGGUUGCAUGGCUGCGAGGCACGGGGCCGCCUCCCCAGGCCCUCAGGGCUCCACGAUGGGCAGGAGCAGGAGGAGGUGGAGGAUGGUGUGGGCUGAACCACUGAUGAAGGGCCCAGAUAAUCUCUUCCUCCCUCCCCGUCUCCCUCUCACUCCUCACUCCCCUCUCACUUCUCCUCCCUUCUCCACACCCGACCCAAUCCCUCACACUCUGUGCCCUGGAGCACCUUUUGCAAAUACCUGCUCAAUAUUCUAGUUGGGGGUGCAACAGUGGUGUUGGUGGGACAUGUGGCGUGUCUGCAGACGGGAGAUACAACGCACAAAAAAGCCGCUUGAAACAAAAAGCAGAACAUCUGCUAAAGCGAUUGCAGGGUAAAUAUGUUUGACAAUUAUUGUUUACAGUGACAGUGGUAACAGUUUCAACGCCCAAAUCAAAACCCCACCAUUUCUCGAUUUGCAGUGAAACAGAUGGGCCUACAGCGAUCCAUUAGCAACCUGUCAAAAGCAUCAUUCUCAACUUACUUUUAUGCCUGUGCUGGUUUUUUAUUUUUAUUUUUUGGCAGUGUGACAGUAGAGACGUACAAUUUGGGCACAAAAAAAUGUUAUUGUUUGCUUAAAAAAUCUGUUACACACUUUUGGUAUUAUAAUCAUUAUUAUUAUUAGUUAAAUACAUUGAUUUCUUUUUUUUAUUUACCCUUAGGCCAUCAGGCUGCUUUUUUUUUUACACAGGAUGCAGCACAAAGUAAUGUACACAAUAUAACAAAUUUUAAAAAUCCAAAUGUUUGGCUCAUCAGUCUCACUCCAGGCCCAAAUGGAUAAUUUGGCCAAUGUGUUUAAUUUUGCUUGAUUUUUAGUCAAUGUUUGCAUCUAGUUUGAGCCACAAAUCUAACUUGAUGUUUAAGUAUUGCACAACUACACAAUGAAAGGCAUGUAAAACAAUCCUUUUUCACACCCAGGUUUUGCUAACACCUAAUGAUGAAGAAGUUGGUCCAAUUAAUUAUGCACUGUAGGUGUUCCUUAAAAUAGUUGUUUCACUGGACUCGUGAUCCUAAAAUAACCACCAAGGCGUUGACCAGAGAGCAGCAGAAGCGACAGCUAGCAGCAGUCGUGUUUGUGCUCACUCUUGAAUCAGACUGUGUCUAAUCUGCACUCGAAUAAAACAGUCGUAAUAAGGAACAGUGUGAGUCGCAGUUGUAAAACAAUUAAAAGGCACAGCAGUGUUUUUGGUAUAAAAUUUUCAGUAUUAUUGCUCACUGCUAGCUCACAGCCUUCCUACGGUUUCAUCUGGAAGUAGCAGAAGCAGCAUUGUAGGCCUCGUGUUACCUACAGAGUCCAUUCACAAAUCUGAUGAUUUGUCCCUAAACUCUGCCUUUUGUUUUUGUCUUUUGUCUUUUUUUUUCCAAAGUUAAAUAUAGUAGGAGUUGAAAGUUUAAUUCCUUGCUGUAAGCUAAUUUGCUAACAGCUAACAUAACUGCCUGAAAGGGCCUGGUAUUUAACAGACUAAAAGGAGAAAUAUUUCCACCAAUAGCAAACAAGGACAAACUCUUAUAAAUAAAUCAAUUCUCCACCUGUGUGUUUUUAGCACUAGGGCGGUGUAUGAUGUAAAUGGUGUGUGUGACUGUCAACGUUGGCCCGUCACAACAGUGCAUCUGCAAUGAGGCAAAGGCGUUAUCUACUGCUACCCCUGUCACCACUCCUCCCCUGCACUGUACGGCUCUAAAUACGCUCAAUCAAAUAAUGUGUUAGGAAUAAUUAACCUCGGAGCUCCCACUGCUUCUAAUUGGCACCUAUUAGAGGGCUGUAUGAUUCCUUGGUAAACACUGAGAGGAGAGAGCAAAUGGCAGCAGUGGUGGGCCUAGGUUUGAUUGGUAAGCAAAGUGCGGGAGCGAUGCAUACCGGGGGUAACCAACAUUUAAUUAUCAAUGAGGUUUUCGCAACACUUUAGAAAGGCCCCGGGCAUCGUUUCCUUCAGUAGUAGUAAUGGGCUCUUUUUAAUGGAACUUGUGUUAAACAUGGUGCUGCCACUGCAAAGCUUUGGCGUUCAGCCCCAGUCGUGGCUGCUUUAAUUUAGGUGACGACUCAAAGAAGAUGGAGCUCAAUUGGGGGGCACGCACUUUGCAAGGGUGCACCACCAAAAGCCACGGGAGGAGAUGAAGAAGAUGCUCGUACUGACUUCACAUAGGCUGCAUUUACAUUCCCUCAUUUGCAUCCUCGCAAAGCAAAGGUCUAGGGUUCAGGAACUUGAUUCAUUCAUGUUUAAUGCAAGGCAUUGGGAGGAAAAGAAAUACAAAUGUUACUUUGUAAGAAGGGAAAAUGUACUCUGAUUUACAUACAUAGGAUUUAUACAAUAACAUGGAUUAUUGUAAUUGUAAACGUCCUUUGAGCAAAAAGCUUAGAGACCUUUUAUGUUUGUGGUUAUCCAAAUAGAACUAUUAGGCACAGAAUAAAAUUCAGAGACACUGGAGUUGUCACUUUGACAGUGAGAGUUGUUGAAGAGCUGAAACACUAUAAACUUGGAUUCCACUCUUACAGUAACCAUCACAGGACCAACGCCAGGCCAGUGGCGGUCAGGGCAGAGCCGAGCUUAGGUGACCCAUUUUUUCGGGGUUGUUCCUAAAAGCAGACAGCUGGGAGUCACAGGGUGACCCUCCAUCAUCACCAACACUGUAAUGUGGUGUAGCACGUGCCAAUCAAGGCCAACGAGAUGACAAGUUCAUCAUGACAUGGCCGAUGUCCUCUCCCCUCUUCACUGCCUAGACAUCUCAAACACAAGAAAACAUGCCAUCCAUUAUGGCAUUUUAGUGUCAGCUGACAUGUUUACUUUGGCCAGAACCUUGAAACUGACAGAGGGACAACAAAGUUUACAGAGAGAGGGGUGUAUUUCAGCCGGUCUUGUAAACAAAAUGUUUUUGGAGAGGCAAAUUUGUGGAAAGACGCAAGAGGCCCCGGCUCAUCACUUUGUGCUCACCUU